rnacentral:lncRNA from 1 species
GAAUUAGUGAAUGUUUUUGUUUCUUGAGUCUGGGGAUGUGCUAUUCCAGCUAUGAUCAUUGUUGACCUAGCUUCCCUGGGCACAGUUGGGCAAUUUAAGCCUAAUCACAAGUACCUUAAAAGGUACUUGUCAGAAGCCAGAACACAGAUUCAGAUUUAAUAAUGACAGUGUUGAAGACAACUUAUCAGUAUCCCACAAUUAAUUUAUUAAUUGUUGUUUACUUCUAAUUUAAUCAUACUGCAUAAUUUCUAUUGCUUGCAAUUUGUUGACUUUUUUGUAUGCGACCUAAUUUAUGGUCAUAUUUUACAACUUUUCCUUGCAUUUUUAAAACCAAUGUGCAUUUUCACAUUUUCUUACAGCACUUAUAAGUAAAUAUAAAUCCUGGUUGUCUUAUGUAGUUAACAUUGCAGUUAACAUUCUUGUACAUGAAUCCUUGUGCACAGUGAGAAUGUUACUCUCACAAUAAGAAGUGUAAUUGCUAGAUCAAUAAUAUGCAGGUGUUUGGUUUUAUUAGAUAUGGCUCUUUGGAACUCUCUGAUUCCCUGCAGUUUUUCUAAGACUUGAUAGAGCCACACAUUUUUGCUGGUCAAUGAAGGGAAAAGUAGUAUUUUAUUGUUAUCUUCUGUCCUGAUUUAUGAAGGAGAUGAGGCAUCAUCUUAUUUCUUGGUUGGGUGUCAUGUUUGUUUCUUGGGUGGGACUUGCCUCAUUCUUCUGUUAUGUUCUAUAGCCAUGCUUGCUGGUGGUCACAGUUUUCCUGUCUUAUUUUUGGCUGGUGGUUUCAUCCUUUGAUCUUUUGGAAAUUAUUAUUCAUAUUCCUGCAUCAUUGUAUAGAUAUUUGAAAUAUGGAUUUUCUUCAUCACUUCUAUGGAUUUGAAACCAAAGGGGAAACCUAGACUAAGUAUUCUGUUUAUUGUUCUUAACUACACUUGUUUGUUUUUUUUAGUCCACCAGUUCAGAUUAUGUAAUUUAUGAAAUAAGUUCCUGUAAGUGAAAUAUUACCAUUCAUAGAUAUAUGCUGUUAUACCUACCAUACAAACCCUAAUCAUAAAUGUCCCAUUUUAGUUGAGAAAUAUGCCUAGCAUGUGUUAGGUCCCCAAAGAACAGUAGAGUUAGGCAUGGUGGUGCAUGCUUGUAUUUCCAGUGACUCAGGAGGCUGAGGCAGGAGUAUUGCAAAUUCAAGGUUAGCCUUAGCAACUUAGCAAGACCUUGUCUGAAAAUAAAAGCUACUGGCGAUGUAUCUCAGUGGUAAAACAUGCCUGGGUUCACUUCCCAGUAUAAAAUAAAAUAAGAGUAGACAAGAUACAGUCCCAAAUUGAGGAAAAAGAGAUAAUCCUUCCUUGUCCUGGAAUUUGCAUUUUUUUAGGUCUUACCCAAUACAACAGUGUUUUUCUGUGUCUCCUUAGAGGCUAAGUAUCUCUCCUAGUCUUAUACAUACAACUUCUUGUCCAAAUGUCAAAUGGAAUUUGAGUUACCAAGAACCACACUGAAUCCUGGUCUGAGAGGUCUAGGUAGACUGCUUCUCUGGCCUGGGAAGUUUUAAGAGAAUACACAAAUAUCUGGGUCUGUACAGUGGUUAACCCAGGACCAAUCAUGUUAUAAAAAGCCAUGUAUAUUGUAAGUGCAAACUAGAAUAAGAUAGGGGGUCUAAAACUUAUUAAAAUCAGCAGCAAAGUAGUAUGAGGAGUUCAGGGAUCCGACAAAAUCAUCAGUUUAAUAAAAUGUCUGAUAAAAAUGGAAACUUGGAAAUGUAGACCAACUCUUACUUUUUACAGUCACAGAGGAAAUGGUAAGGUACUUAGAGUUAAAAAUUGGGAGGGACGUUUAGACAUAGAGGGAAGAAGAAUGAAUAGAAGCAUUAAUUAGAAAUUAAUGAUUACUUGUAUAUUGGGACAGUUUUAUUUACCUUGGCUGCCCUUAUAUCCUGGUAAGAUAGCCUCUGCUUAUUGGCAUAUUUACAAAUUGAGUUCAGAGGUAACAUUUACAAAUGGGUCAUGGUAGCAGAGCGCCAGGGGAAGUUGAAGACUGGGGUUAUGAUCUGGAAGAUUUUGAGUCUCAUGGUUUCAGUCUUUGUAAGAUAAAGAAAUUGGUCUAGAUAUCUAGGGUUCCAUUUAUCUUUAAAAGUAUUUUAUUAAAUAGCUGGCUUUCUCUGGGUAGUCAAAACACAAUAGGAAAAUAGUUCCUGGUAAUACCAUCUUACACUGUACUGUAACUUAUUUAUCUUUGUCUCUCACUAAACCAUUAACUCCUCGAGGAGAGGAAUUUCAUUUUACUGUUUUCAUCUGUUCGUGCUUUUUAUUUCUACCAGCUUGAGCAGUGUUUGAAGAGUAAGCGAAUCCACUAUGGUAGUUUCUGAAAUUCAGUUGAAUAAAUGACUGAAAGAGGGGUGGGGGGAAACAUAACAAAACUUGAGGGAACCCAGGAGAGCAAAUCUGUUUUUAGAAGGGAAAACAAGCCCACUCUAAUUAAGAAGCUUGCACAAUGGCAUGCAGUAUUAGGGCAGAAGUAGAAUUAGAUGCUAAAUCCCCCAGUUCUUUAUCCAGUGUUGUUUAAUGGAUCUUUCUGUCUCUAAUCCCACAGAAACAUACAAAUCACAUUCCAAAUUGCAAGAGUAACAUUUAUGUCCAUGAAAUUAUUCUGAUUAAAUUUCUGUGAUAAGUCUUCUCCCCUUUCUCCCAAAGGAUAAUAAUGUGGCUCUACAAGAUAAAUGAACAGGUUGGGAGUUCAGGAAGCCCAGGCCCUUGUUUUGGCAGUGAGAAUGUAAUGUAAUUAGUGACUGUCUUCUGGGAAAUGUCAGAAGGCACUUGAUUUCUUGCAGGGUAGCAUAAACUGAGGUAGGCUGAGGCAGUUGUUGCCCUUGAAAAUAAAAAGGGCACAGUAAAAUGGAAAGGCAGAGGAACUGUUCAGCCAGGAUCAUGUUAUUCUACAUGGGCAUUUGCACAGGACUUCUUCUGCCUGGAUGACUUUUAUUCUGAGGUGAGCACAAGUAAAUCUGAUUAAAAAGUCAAACAUCUGUUGUGUGUGCACAUUUAGUUCUCUAUGUAUAAUGUAGUCUGUAUUGCCUGAUUUAGCUCUCCCAUGUGCUAUAUACUCUUAAAUGCCUGGCACACAGCAAUCAGAGCAAAGGUUACUGGCACAUUGGGAAUAGAAAAGACAGAAUCAUUAAUAAUCGUUCUGCUAACUGCGGAUUGUAAAAAUUUGCAGGGCAGGCUUUGUGACUAUGCAGUGGAGAAAAAAUAUGCAUCACAAAUCUAUUCAGUUGAUCUUGUACACUUGUCCAUUUCUAGCUAUUAGUAAAACAAUUUUGAAACAUGUCACAGUAAUUUAAUGAAGUUGAUAGGUUACAGUCCCAUCAACCCUUUCUGCAAGGGCAGAGGAUCACAGUCAUGGGUUUCAAUUUAGUUUAUUCAGCCCAUUGCAGUACAGUUUAUGUGUGAAAGCUCUUAUCUGUGCAAAUCUAGCAGUUGUAUUUUUUUAACAGUUUGCUCAAUUUGGGGUCUGCACACAUGAAAACUGAAUAUACUCAGUGUUCACAUAUCAAGAAUGCCAGUUUGCUGUUUUUUGCUUCUUUGUGAAUAUAAUUUGCACUUUAAAGUCUUAAAAGAAAAGGCUAGUAUGUUAAUUUUGUUCUUAUUGUGAUGGCAGAGUGUUUCUCUUACAAUUAGGAUGUAAAAAUGUUGGGAGAGAACAUUGCUUUUAUUGAAAGAAAACAGAAAAACCAGAUGAUCCUCAAAGUAAUAAUUUUUCUUAAAUCUCCAGAAAUGACAACCCUUCCUGAGGAGAUAUAAGACAUUUGGGUAUUUCACUGGAUAGCAGAGCACAAGAGAAACAUAUGACUACCAUAGAAAUGAGUAAGAUGGUAUCAGUUGAAAUUUUAGUGAAAUAAUGAAUUCUUACAGAUUGAAUGUUGGCUUAUACUCAGUUUAGAGUAAGUGGGAACUUCAGAUACAAGGGCAACUUGCACCUACAAGAUCUUUUCUACAGGACUCCAUUGGGCAGGAUAUUUAUAGGAAAAAUUAGGGGCAAACUUGGACAGAAUGGCCAUGAUGGUUAGACAUGAUGUAAAGUCUGCUUCAUCAGAGGCUUAUCUUCUGUGACAUAAAAGUUACUCGGAGGACACAAACCUUGUAGCCCAUAGGACCCAGCAACAGUCUACUGUUUUGAGAUAAAACAAAUAAUAAGAAGCAGACUCAGAAAUGCCUUAGAUAUGGGAACUAUCAGACGUGAACUUUAAAAUCACUAUGAUUAGUAGUUAAAGAAUGUAGUGGGAAAAGUGAACAAUAUCCAUGAACUUAUGGAAAAUAUCAACAGAGAGAUGAAAACCAAAAAUUGUUUUUAAAAUUUGGAUGAAGCCUGGCAUGGUGGUGUGCGCCUGUAAUCCCAGUGAUUUGGGAGGCUGAGGCAGGAGGAUUGCAAGUUUGAGGCAAGUCUCAGCAAUUUAGUGAGGC